GCCGUCUUAGCUCAGUAGGUAGAGCGCAUCCAUGGUAAGGAUGAGGUCGUGGGUUCGAUUCCCACAGUCGGCACCA
rnacentral:tRNA from 1 species